AUGCGCAAGGCUUGAAUGGCGUCGGGGUUGGAGGGUUGGAAGGUCGGGAAGUGAAGGACUCGCAGGCAUAUUUAACAACGCAAAGUUGCUAGGAGUUGGUACCAGCGUUUGGGAGGUAGAGGUGGCGCUCAUGCAUAUUUGAGACAACAUCUGGAUGGUUGGGGAGAACGGUAAGGAGGAAGCGGCGCGCAUGCGUAUUUCAGACGGAGUGCCGGGGAGGGGAGGCGCUCAGCAUUCGGGUAAUUAAGGUUGCAAAAUGGCGAGGGGGGAGGUAAGCUGUCUUUGCUUGGCCAUCUUGGGCUAGCAGGCCUUGCAGAGAACUACCUUUUUAGCUGAGUGAAGGGAUCAACCUGAGUUGGAGUUCUCCUAUGCUGUGGCCAGAUCCACUAGAAAUUAACCCAGAAUCUUAGCCUCUCAGUGGCCUAUCGGUAAGUGGGUACAAAAAUGAGGAGGCGAUGAUGACUCUGCAAAAGGUUGCGGCAGCUGGCGGUGCGUAGGAAAUGCGUAAAAAGGGAGCACUUGGAGACAGGCCACAUUUGGGCAGUACGCAUUCGGAGGGCUCUCUGGCUUUCCGAUCUUGGGUCGCUGUACUUGGCUCUGAAUACAGUCACCCCAUCAGAGUAGCAAAACACUGUGGUUGUAGUGUGAGAAUCCAAUGUUAAUGUUGGCCGAAAGCUCUUGAUUUUCUUCCCUGAGAACAUAGGCGUGAGGAUUUGGAUGUGUUUCCAAAUGCUUGUUACUCUUUGCCGUAAACCUGGAAUUUGGACCUAUGGCUGCCUGGGACUCAUACUGUCGUGGAGAAAGAUUGAAAAGUAGUUAAUGGCAGUGGUGGUAUGAAGGUAACCUGGGCUUUCACCCUUUCCUUUAUUUUUUCUUCUGUAGAACUUUCAGCACGGUUUUGUCAAGGGAGAAGAUUAGAGUUUCUAUUUUAAAGGCAGAUGUACUGUCAUGACUCUCUGAAGACUUGCUGUUAAUCGCUAAAACUAGUAAGUUAGCACUUAGAUACAGACAUAGUUAGAAGGAGCACAGGAUUAAAAACUGAAAAAAACAUCUUUUCCCAGUAAUCCUAGCUAUUAUUUCAUGGUGGUCCUUUUCCUUCUCUGGGCCUAUUUCUCUCUCUCGCUCAUUUAUUUAUUUACUUUUAGACAGAGUCUUGCUCCGUCGCCCAGGCUGGAGUGCGGUGGCGCGAUCUCAAUUCACUACAACCUCCGCCUCCCGGGUUCAAGCGAUUCUGAUAUCUCAGCCUCCCAAGUAGUAGCUGGGGUUACAGGUGCGCGCACGCCCGGCUAAUUUUUGUGUUUUUAGUAGAGACGGGGUUUUGCCAUGUUGGCCAGGCUGGUCUCGAACUCCCGGCCUCAUGUGAUCCGCCCGCCUUGGCCUCCCAAAGUGCUGGGAUUACAAGCGUGAGCCACCACGCCCGGCUGCUGGGCCUAUUUCUCUAUCUGUAAUAAUGAUUAAACGUCAAUAGCACUUACUACGUUCGAGGUUCUGGUCUGCGUGCUUUUACAUAGGCCGUAACUCAUUUGGUACUCUCGACAAUCUUACGAAACACAGUACUGUUAUUAAGUUUAUACAAAUGAGAAAUUUGAGGGACACGAGACUAAUUUGUUCAAGGCUUUACAGCCAGUUGAAUGGCUGAGACUGGGUUUUUAUCCAGGUGGGAUGGCUCCAGAAGCAUGUGCUUUUAAGCAUUAUGCUUUAUUCCCUAAAAAGAGGGGGCGAAUUUAAAGGAACCUUCUUUUAUGAUUUCAAAAUUUGUUUGUAACUAACCAAAA
ensembl:lncRNA FTX FTX transcript, XIST regulator